rnacentral:lncRNA from 1 species
AGUGUUUUCUUGCAGGGGGAGUAGGAAUUAUGUUCCAGGGAUAAUAGACCAGAGAAGGUGGACCCCAUUUAGGUAAGGAGGCAAGAAAUGUUCCCUCCUCCCCCACUGCAGGAAAAGCCACUAAAUACAAACCUGUGGGAGUAGAUUCCUAACUCCUUGUUCUAUAAAAAGGCUUCUAGACCAGCAAGACAAGGGGAGGGAGAACUUCAGUAUGAGUGACUGACACAGUUAAAGUGACGUCCUUUUUCUGGUUCAGAAUACAAUCCAGAAUCCUGGACAUACACUAAUUGCACUUAGUUGUUUUGUCUCCAUGGUCUAGUUUAAUCUGUGUAUAUUAGUCCAUUCUCACACUGCUAUAAAGAACUACCUGCCCUGCGUGGUGUCUCACGCCUGUAAUCCCAGCACUUUGGGAGGCUGAGGCAGGUGGAUUGCCUGAGGUCAGGAGUUCAAGACCAGCCUGGCCAACAUAGGGAAAUCCUGUCGCUAAUAAAAAUAUUUGGGGACUGAGAUAUAUUCAGAUAUUGACUGCCUAAGAACUAGUCACCCUGAAAGGUUCACAGAGGACAAAUUAUUGGGUCAAAUUAAAAUGACCUAUUGGAAGGUAUUGGAAGCAUUAAGCAAACACUGAGCUGACACUACAGGC